GGUUUGAGAUUUUUUGUGGACCAGAUUAUUUUAACGAAGGUGAAACUUAAAACGGUAAAAAAAUAUUUUUAAAACAGUGUACAAAAAUAGAAUGAAUGUAACAAUAGAUGAUGUAAGUAGAUUCGUAAAUGAAAUAUUUACAAACUAAAGAAGCAAAAAUUAAAGAUAACAAAAUCCAUAGUUGUUACAUGCAAAAGAAAUCUAAAGUCAGAUUACAAAAUCUAUAAGAAAUCAUUGUCGCACAAGUUGUACUCAAAAUGGAGAUAGGAAGAUGGAAAAGAAAGAUAAAGAAAGAAACAAAAAGAAAAAUCUAAAAAUAGACUAGUGUGUUAAGAAAUUGAACGAGGAAUGAGAAGACAAAAGAAAUAUCUAGGUUAUGAGAAAAAGAAAAAAAAAAGUUACAAAUUGAUGGCUAUAUUAUACUUGAAAUAAAACUUUUGAGUUUGAACCAUUGUUGUUAGUUAUACAAAAGUAAUAAAAAUCUAAACUUAUCUCAUUUUCGAUUGGGUUCAGUUUUUAGCGAGUUUAAAAAUUUAAAACCGAACCCGCCCAAUAUAACCUAUAUAAAAUCAAAAUUUUAACCCGAUUUACUCAUAAAACCCGCCCGAACCCACCAAAAAGUAAUAUUUUUAUCAGGUUUUUCAGGUUCGAUUCUGGUCUCGAUUUUAUGCUCCCCCUAAUUAUCCAUUAACAAUUAAGUUUCUUUUGUAAUAUCACAUUUUUUUACAUAUAAAAUCACGUCAUAUAUUUAUUACAUAUCAUUAAAAUAAAGGAAUUAAUAAAUAGAGUGUAACGAACUACUUUGCAGAUCUGUUUCUCGUUUCUCAAUGUCCUUGUUGGAUAACAAAAGAAAAAAAAAUAUAUAAAUGUUCUAGUAGAUUUCAUUUCAUGAGAGAGGGUUAAAGUUAUACAGUAGACAAUAUAAAUCGAGUUUAAUAAACUGAUUUAAGUGUAGUAAUGUUUCGCAUGACAACUAAAUUAGUAUUAUGUUAGUUAGGUAACAAUAAUACAGUUAAUCUAACAUUGAAUCUUAAGCAUAACAGAAAAAGUGAAUGCAGAGGCAUAAAUUGCAGUGCAUGUAGGAUCGAUAAAAUGGGGAUCAGAUUCGUGUUAAUGGUGAACAAGCAAGGUCAGACACGUCUUGCACAGUACUACGAAUACCUAACUCUCGAAGAAAGGCGAGCCCUUGAAGGCGAAAUCGUUCGUAAAUGUCUCGCUCGUAAUGAACACAAGUGUUCAUUUGUUGAGCAUCGCAACUACAAAAUUGUUUAUAGACGCUAUGCCUCUUUGUUUUUCCUUGUUGGAGUUGAUGAUGGCGAGAACGAGCUCGCGAUUUUGGAAUUUAUCCAUCUUUUAGUUGAAACAAUGGAUCGACACUUUGGCAAUGUGUGUGAGCUAGAUAUCAUGUUUCAUUUGGAAAAGGUACAUUUUAUGUUGGAGGAAAUGGUGGUGAAUGGUUGCAUUGUGGAGACAAGCAAAGCAAACAUUCUGACUCCAGUUCAGCUGUUGGAUAAAACUUCUUGAGAGAAAUAAAAGAAGCAUUCCUGAUUCAAGGGAUGAUUACGUAAAAACAAUUAUCUCAAGCAUGUGAACAGGUUCACUCCUAAUGCUUUACAUCAAGUUCCUCUCAAUUACAUUGUUUAUAUGCAUAAGUGUACAAAUCAAAUUAGUAUGAAUAUAUGGUUAGAUUUUUUUUAUCAUGCUGAGAUGAUAGAUAACCCAUUAAUCAUCGGUAUUUUCUUAAUAGAUGAC